UCAACAAUACCAUAUGAUGGAAUUGGAAAUAAUGCUGGCUUAACAAAUCUCGUACCGAAUCAAGCAAGAUGUUGGAAGUCUUGAAGUCGCGAUAUAUGACUUUCGUUUCCGCACUGUGAAGGAAGGCAAGCCCUUUUGC